rnacentral:rRNA from 1 species
UACAGAGGGUGCAAGCGUUGUACGGAAUUAUUGGGCGUAAAGCGCGUGUAGGCGGCUUUGCAAGUCGGGUGUGAAAGCCCUCAGCUUAACUGAGGAAGUGCGCCCGAAACUGCAGAGCUUGAGUACCGGAGAGGAUGGUGGAAUUCCCCAAGUAGAGGUGAAAUUCGUAGAUAUGGGGAGGAACACCGGUGGCGAAGGCGACCAUCUGGACGGAUACUGACGCUGAGACGCGAAAGCGUGGGGAGCAAACAGG